CCCUUAGAUGUCCUGGGCCGCACGCGCGCUACACUGACGGAGCCAGCGAGCUUACCCCUUUGCCGAAAGGCAUGGGAAAUCUUUUGAAUCUCCGUCGUGCUGGGGAUAGAUCAUUGCAAUUAUUAAUCUUCAACGAGGAAUGCCUAGUAGGCGCAAGUCAUCAGCUUGCGUCGAUUACGUCCCUGCCCUUUGUACACACCGCCCGUCGCUCCUACCGAUUGGGUGUGCUGGUGAAAUGUUCGGAUCGGCCGUUUGUCGCGGUUUCCGCGGCUCGUGGCUGAGAAGUUCAUUAAACCCUCCCACCUAGAGGAAGGAGAAGUCGUAACA
rnacentral:rRNA from 1 species